AACUUUCUAAAUCCGUGCACAGAUUUCGUCAGAUACCAACCCAGUGGGGCUGAUCAGACUUCCAAUAUAAGUGAAGUU
rfam:Schistosoma margrebowiei strain Zambia genome assembly, scaffold: SMRZ_contig0000485